CCAGACUCCUACGGGAGGCAGCAGUGGGGGAUAUUGCACAAUGGGGGGAACCCUGAUGCAGCGACGCCGCGUGGGUGAAGGAGCGUUUCGGCGCGUAAAGCCCUAUCGGCAGGGAAGAAGAUGACGGCACCUGACCAAGAAGCCCCGGCUCACUACGUGCCAGCAGCCGCGGGAAUACGUAGGGGGCAAGCGUUAUCCGGAAUUACUGGGUGUAAAGGGGGCGCAGACGGCAGUGCAAGUCUGGAGUGAAAGCCCGUGGCUUAACUACGGGACUGCUCUGGAAACUGUGCAGCUAGAGUGCAGGAGAGGCAGGCGGAAUUCCUAGUGUAGCGGUGAAAUGCGUAGAUAUUAGGAGGAACACCAGUGGCGAAGGCGGUCUGCUGGACAGCAACUGACGCUGAGGCGCGAAAGCGUGGGGAGCAAACAGGAUUAGAUACCCGAGUAG
rnacentral:rRNA from 1 species